GCAAGUAGAAACAAAAUCUAGAUUUAGUAUAUAUAUAUAGUAAAAAGUUGUUUACUUGUGUUUCUAGGAUAAUUUUACGAGAAAAUGAUUACGAUAGCACUAAAAAAAUUUUGUCACGAAUAAAAAUGACCAAAAUAGCACUUCAUGUUUUAUCAAAAGAGAUAAAUAUACACUUAUACCCCAAAGGUAAAUUAAUUUAGAUAUUAGAGUUUAGAGUUAAGAGGUAGGGUUUAGGAUUUAGUAUUUAGGGUUUAUGGUUUAGGGUUUAGAGUUUAGAGUUUAGGGUUUAGAUUUUAGGUUUGGGGAUUAGGGUUUAGGGUUUAGAGUUAAGGGGUGAGGUUUAGGAUUUAGGGUUUAGGGUUUAGGAUUUAGGGUUUAGAGUUUAGGGUUUAGAGUUGGGAAGUGGGGUUUUGGGAUAAGAUUUCAAAUUUUGAAAAAUAAAAAAAUUUAAAUUUUUCAAAAGAUAAAAUGCUAUUUUAGUCAUUUUAGUUUUUAAAGAUUAUUUUUGUGACAUAAACUUAGAAAAGUGAUAUUUUGGAGAUUUGCCCUAAUUUUAUUAAACAAACAUCAAAUAUCUCCUUUAAACUAGUAAUUAAAUCAUGUAAAAUUCCGUAAUUUAAACGCUAGAGUUUUGAGUCGUUUUUUGGGGAAAAAGUAGUGUAGUUGGUUCAUCGAAGGCUUGUUUAGUAAAAUAACGAAUCAUAAAAAAAAUCUUGAAGACGUGAAGAAAAUUAAAC
rnacentral:lncRNA from 1 species